UCACACAAUAGGAAGGUAUAGCAGAAGUGUAUCUUGAGUUGGUGCCUUUGAUGUUUUUGUCCACUGAAAUUUUAACUUGCUCACACCAAUCCACGCCAUCCUGGCUAAAACAGCCGGUAAAGUACAAAGUACCAGUUGUACUUGCCAGGAUGGCAAAUGAUGGCGUAAUAUUGGUGUCAGCUGUGUUGUCAGGCUUAUCGCUCAUGUGCAUUGAAAAACACGGACAGAUUUUUGCUUGAGUUACACUUCUGCUAUUAAUACCUUCCUGUAUUAUGUGAUGAUAUUGUUGUUGACAAUAGCAGGGUUGGUAAGUUAGAUGAAUAAUUAGGCCAAAUCAUCACUGGUGCACUAUUAGAACACAAAGGCCUAGUGUGACGGUGUUUGGCCUAGUUAUUCAGCAAACCUACCAACCCUGGACAAUAGAUGCUCAUGUGACAUAAUUGGAUGUUUAUGGCCUUGAUGGGUUGAACUUCCUUCAGGCAUUUUCAGUUGGCUUCUAGCCUCUUUUGGUAUGCUUUGCAGUUUGAAUUCCAAUUUGAAUACUGAUGGUACAGCAUUUUUUUUGCCUGCACGACCCUGUUGAGGAUGGUGUAGUCAGGGGUGGAUGUAUAGGGGGGUGCACAAGGGUGUGACCCCUGUUGACCAAGGUCAACAGGGGUGCAAAAAAAUCAAAUUUGUACCCAUUGUCAUGAAUAUGUACCCAUUGUCAUAGUAG